rnacentral:rRNA from 1 species
UACAGAGGUCCCAAGCGUUGUUCGGAUUCAUUGGGCGUAAAGGGUGCGUAGGUGGCGCUGUAAGUCGGGUGUGAAAUUUCGGAGCUUAACUCCGAAACUGCAUUCGAUACUGCGGUGCUUGAGGACUGGAGAGGAGAUUGGAAUUCAUGGUGUAGCAGUGAAAUGCGUAGAGAUCAUGAGGAAGACCAGUGGCGAAGGCGGGUCUCUGGACAGUUCCUGACACUGAGGCACGAAGGCCAGGGGAGCAAACGGG